rnacentral:rRNA from 1 species
UACGGGGGGAGCAAGCGUUGUUCGGAUUUACUGGGCGUAAAGGGCGCGUAGGCGGUCAGCACAAGUCAGUUGUGAAAUCUCCGGGCUUAACUACGGAAAGGUCAACUGAUACUGUGCGACUAGAGUGCAGAAGGGGCAACUGGAAUUCUCGGUGUAGCGGUGAAAUGCGUAGAUAUCGAGAGGAACACCUGCGGCGAAGGCGGGUGCUGGGCCGACACUGACGCUGAUGCGCGAAAGCCAGGGGAGCGAACGGG